CUAAAUUUUAUGCAAAACAGUUCAGAUUGAUAGAAUUUUAAAGGAUUUCAUUGUGACUAUUAGAACCUAGAAUUGGAACAAGACCCAGGAUUCCAACGAGAAGUGAUGCAGAACUGCAUUUCAAAGGCUUUUUUAAUAUUUUGCUGACAUCUGCAUCACUGAUUGAUUUUAUUUAUGUAAAUAUGGACUAAUUGAAUUAUCAUACAAAAUUGCGUUGAAUCCAUCUCUCUCCAUCAAGAUGUGUUUUGAUACAAUGAGCUAUUCAGUAUAUCAGGAUUGUGAAGAUGCAGUUUUUCACUUGUUUAUAGGCUUGAAUUGACUAGAUCACUGCUAAUGUUCACAUCAUUGGACAAAUAAUCUUCUAUUGUAUCUCUUAUUUGAGACAUUCAUUUUUUUCACUGACAUAACUACACAUCUCAAAAUACAUCCCUGCAAAGUACCGGCUUUGUGAAAGGAAAUUUAUUAAAAGAUCUCAAAGAAAAUUAAUGGACUACCCAAAGAUAUGACAUAUGUUGACUUGGUUGAAAACAUCAUUCCAAUAGAGAAAAGGAAGAAGAAAACCAAAGUUACCCCAAUGGAUACCCACUGCAAUGGUUUCCAAGGACAUCAUGUUCCUUCAGGCUCAAGAAUCCCUUUGAAGCUGAUGGAUCAUGCUGUUGUUUAUUCAAUAAACAUUGAGCUCACAAUAUGCUUAUGGAAUGGCACUAGAAGCUGUGGGCAAUAAAAAAAAAAACAAUGAGUAAGAUGUGCUCCAUGACCUUAAGAAGUUUAUAAGCUCCUGUGGGUAAAAUAGUUUUUUUUAUUGGUACUGUAGGCUUAAUAACAUAUUAACCCAGUAUAUAGUAGGCAUUCAAUAAAUGUUGAAUAAGUUAAUGAAAUACUAGAACA
rnacentral:lncRNA from 1 species